rnacentral:rRNA from 1 species
AUUGAACGCUGGCGGCAUGCCUAACACAUGCAAGUCGAACGGAGGUAGGGGCAACUCUACUUCAGUGGCGGACGGGUGAGGAAUGCGUCGGAAUCUACCCUAUGGUGGGGGAUAACACAGGGAAACUUGUGCUAAUACCGCAUAAUGUCGAGAGACCAAAAGCAGGGGACCGCAAGGCCUUGCGCGAUAGGAUGAGCCGACGCCCGAUUAGCUAGUUGGUAGGGUAAAGGCCUACCAAGGCGACGAUCGGUAGCUGGUCUGAGAGGAUGAUCAGCCACACUGGGACUGAGACACGGCCCAGACCUCCUACGGGAGGCAGCAGUGGGGAAUAUUGGACAAUGGGCGCAAGCCUGAUCCAGCAAUGCCGCGUGUGAAGAAGGCCUGCGGGUUGUAAAGCACUUUUGUUCGGGAAGAAAUCAUGCUGGUUAAUACCUGGUAUGGAUGACGGUACCGAAAGAAUAAAGCACCGGCUAACUUCGUGCCAGCAGCCGA